UGGCGAACGGGUGAGUAACACGUGGGUGAUCUGCCCUGCACUCUGGGAUAAGCCUGGGAAACUGGGUCUAAUACCGGAUAGGACCAUGCUUUAGUGUGUGUGGUGGUAAAGUUUUUUCGGUGUAGGAUGAGCCCGCGGCCUAUCAGCUUGUUGGUGGAGUAAUGGCCUACCAAGGCGGCGACGGGUAGCCGGACUGAGAGGUUGGUCGGCCACAUUGGGACUGAGAUACGGCCCAG
rnacentral:rRNA from 1 species